rnacentral:rRNA from 1 species
UGGGGAAUAUUGGACAAUGGACCAAGAGUCUGAUCCAGCAAUUCUGUGUGCACGAUGAAGUUUUCGGAAUGUAAAGUGCUUUCAGUUGGGAAGAAAGAAAUGACGGUACCAACAGAAGAAGUGACGGCUAAAUACGUGCCAGCAGCCGCGGUAAUACGUAUGUCACGAGCGUUAUCCGGAUUUAUUGGGCGUAAAGCGCGUCUAGGUGAUUAUGUAAGUCUGAUGUGAAAAUGCAGGGCUCAACUCUGUAUUGCGUUGGAAACUGUAUAACUAGAGUACUGGAGAGGUAAGCGGAACUACAAGUGUAGAGGUGAAAUUCGUAGAUAUUUGUAGGAAUGCCGAUGGGGAAGCCAGCUUACUGGACAGAUACUGACGCUGAAGCGCGAAAGCGUGGGUAGCAAACAGGAUUAGAUACCCUGGUAGUCCACGCCGUAAACGAUGAUUACUAGGUGUUGGGGGUCGAACCUCAGCGCCCAAGCAAACGCGAUAAGUAAUCCGCCUGGGGAGUACGUACGCAAGUAUGAAACUUAAAUGAAUUGACGGGGUCAUAGCUGUUUCCUG